rnacentral:ncRNA from 2 species
UGAUCUUAGCCAAAAGGCC